UUUCCGUAGAUGAACCUGCGGAAGGAUCAUUAAAGAGUAAGGGUCUUCGGGCCCGAUCUCCAACCCUUUGUUUAACUACCAUGUUGCUUUGGCGGGCCCGUCUCACGACCGCCGGAAGUUUGGCUUCGACCAAACUUCUGGCCCGUGCCCGUCAGUGGCCCCUUCAAAUUCUUGAUCAAGUAUGAUGUCUUAGUUAAAAACUUAAUAGUUAAAACUUUCAACAACGGAUCUCUUGGUUCUG
rnacentral:misc_RNA from 1 species